rnacentral:rRNA from 1 species
ACCUACGGGACGCAGCAGUGGGGAAUAUUGGACAAUGGGGGGAAACCUGAUGCAGCGACGCCGCGUGAGUGAAGAAGUAUUUCGGUAUGUAAAGCUCUAUCAGCAGGGAAGAAAAUGACGGUACCUGACUAAGAAGCCCCGGCUAACUACGUGCCAGCAGCCGCGGUAAUACGUAGGGGGCAAGCGUUAUCCGGAUUUACUGGGUGUAAAGGGAGCGUAGACGGCAGAGCAAGUCUGAAGUGAAAGCCCGCGGCCCA